rnacentral:lncRNA from 1 species
AUGGCAUUCUCAUUUCAAGGAGUUUCUGAGAAGGAUUCAAAGCGAAAAUCUACCACCAGUUCUGUGUCAUAAUGUUCAAAUUACUGAUAAUCACCAGCCUGAUGGCCUACGCCUCCGCAACACCAAUUGCAACUUUCCUGACUCCAGCUGGCCCAAUUGCAUACUCCCCAGGCACUAGCAAUUACGUUGCUCCGGAAUCGCAAACCCGCGUAGUACAAUUUGCCUACCCAUCGUUGGCGACAGCAGAAAUCGCAUCUCAAUCGGAUGGUAUCAGCAGGAUAACGGAAUACGAGGCAACCCCACUGGUCCCGGUCUUGGCUCCUUCAAGAUACUACGCAGUACUACCAUCGAUAGCAGCGGCGGCGACGUCUUACUAUUGACGUUAAAGGUCGAGACACAAUGCAGAAGAUAGGUCUAAGAUAGCUUUUCCCAUAACGUCUCGAUGGGCAUUGCGUUCGUGCUUUACCCAUGGGAAUAAAGAGGAAGUUGAACUAGGACAAUGCAAGCGACUGACCUGACGGACUGUUAAUGAAUGCAGACAAGAAUGCGACACUCAGGACGAAUAAGUGGGUUUCUUUGUAAGAGAAAAAUGCAAUUUACCAGGCGAUGAAUAAAGUAUGAUAAAAACAUAUUUGACAUGGUUUUCACC